ACAGAAGAUUUGACUGUUUUGAGCAAAGAAGAAAGAAACUAUGGCGACGGUGUGGGGUGCAUUUUGUGGGACCAGAGUGCUGGACCUAGUGAAGAAACAUGAUUCCGGAGGCCUUCUUUGGAAGAGAGUAAAGCUCACUCCCACCCGCAAAGCCAAUGCCAAGAAACGCCUCCGUCGCGUUUGACUGAAUGAGGCUGUUUUGCGGGUAUGCUCUGGGAUGCCUCCCCAGUAAGUAUCACAUGCUGAAGGUAGCAGAAAUAUUGCCAAGGACAACCAAAGCCCCCAAGGUUAGACGAAAUGAGUGAGGGAGGGAUCUAAGCAAGCAUGACAAUGGGACUAGGAAAAGUAAUGCCGAUGUAUAUAAUGCUUAUUCAUAUUGCCAUUUUGUGCCUCAAACUGCAUAACCAAAGUUUUGAUAUUCUUGAUUUUUCCUUUUAUAGGUUAGUUUAAGUCAACAAUGUGCACCAACAUAUAGUAUUUUCAGUUUAUGUCUCAUUGGGUCUUGUAUUGACUUGCAACCGAUAAUUCUAAAGCUACUCUUGUUGAUUA